AUAAAUCUUGAUAACCAGUAUACCAUAAUAACGAAGAGAAUAUGGUCCAGGAAGUCAUUUGGUGGAGCGAUGAUCACCUUUAUACAUUCACCCUGAAUGAAAAUUGAAACUGGAAAUCUACAAGGACUGUUGACCUCGUUGUUAAGGAUUUAUUAAUUAUCUUAUCCAAGAAGCUUGAAAGUGCUAUGGCCUUCCCUAAUGCGUAACGAGUAACCAAAUGAAAAUACAAAUUGCAUGGGACCAGACCGUGAGACUCUGUAAAUCAUGGUGGAAGUACGAGGAGUCUCCCUCUGGGAGGUCAUGACGAUGAGUAAUCCCGCGAAAUCCUGGAGACUAGGAUACACCGGUUUAUCCCUAGAUGAUGGGAUGACGUCAGUGGUGAAUAAAUAAUGCAUAUAGUAUUUAUAUAGCAUGAGCAUAUGUAUUUCUGAAGAGACCAGUUCCGAGAUUUCUACGAGGUACGAAAUACAGACGAGAUGAUCGAACCAGGGAACCCGGGGCACAUCCUGCCCAGGAUUCAGACGGUCUUUUGUCUUCUCUUCAUUUUUUGCCUCUCUCCUUUAGGCUCUUCUUUCUCUCUUUUUUUAUAUUGUUCUUAUUAUUAUACUCUUCUUUUUUUUCAUUCUCUGUCUUCUUUUUACUUUCCUCCUCGGCUCUCUUUUUGCCACGGAGAGCCAAUAAACCCAGGGAACCAGGACAGUAAAAAGAGCAUUGAGAGUUUCGCAGAGGUUCCAAGAGGGCCCCAGGAGCUGGGGUCCGGGCCCCACACGACCAGGAACGUCCACUCGGCAUGUUGGACCCCUGUUCAUCUCUCCUGGAACCAGCGAUACUUUGGUCUCACACUCAGAAGACUUGCCUCCGUCUAUACGUCCAGUGACUGUAGUAUACACUAUGCCAAAAGUGGUUGACCCUGAGAGUGCUGGCUACAAAGGACUGAUUCACCAGGGUCCCAAAGGCCCAGAACCCUCGGCCUGAGUCUACUGCCCAAUUUUGCAAGAGUCUACCCCUACCAAUGACAUAAUCCCACGGGAUUCGUUUAAGAGAACCUGUUCAAAUUGGAUAAAAAAUCAUAAGUGUAGACUUGGCCGCUUUUUUUUUUCUUGACAAAAUGGCGACCAACGUAGCCAUGCAGGAUUUCCGAAAAUCAUAAAUCAGCCAGGUACUCCACUCUGUGUACUAUCCAGUACAAGAUAUAUAUUGGGUCUCACAAUAUACAUAUAUAUACACCUAUCGGUCUGCUCCUCGCAUCCCGCGAGAUAAUACAGGCAAUUACAAAGUGGCUAUUAGCUUUAUUGCGCGCCUUGGCUCGAUUUAAAAUUACCACUUCGAUCUCAUGCAUUAUUAUACGUACUGAAGUCAACAUGCUUCUACUAAUCACAUUGCUACUUCUUCGGUAAUUGAUAUGGCAAUGUAAUUGCUAUCAUCUUCCUACACCUUUACGUUCAUUUCAAUUUCCGACUCUUAAAGAGACAAAGUACUUAUAAAGGUACUAGUUAAGUACGUUAUAAAUGCAUGGAGGGUAUCAAGAAAGAAAGAAAAAAAGAGAAAAGAGGGAAGCCACAUUUUUCAAGGAACAGGAAGUCACUCGGUUGGAUGGACGUGCGAAAAUUUCUAUUGUGCGAUGGUAAACCGCAGUAUUCGACUAUCUGCCAUUUCGAUCGUACCCGUUCACAAUGGUCUACGUACGUAAGCAUGGCGCAGCCGGUUGAAAACAAGAGUAAAAAUCGGAAAACCGGUAGGUAAGCACGUUACCACUGGGACCUAUGGAUAUCUUCCUAGGUACUUCGAUCCACCUACGCGAGAUUUCAGACAGGAUCUUCAUUCCAUAUAUUCACAAAUUUAUUGCUGAUCACCUUUAAAAAAGCUUAUAUCGUUCCUAACUUAUAGUUGGUCAUGAGCUUUGAGACUUUUGAUGCCUUUUGAAACAACUACUACUCUAUAAUUCUAUAGUAGAAUACAGUGUAGACUCUCCAUACUGUACACUCUUGCGAUGAAACCUCCUGCAAUAAAUAUAAGCUGUAAAGCACUGUUCCUGUAUAUACAAUGAAGUAGCGCGAUGAAGACGAUCUUCCUGGAUAGAGCAGGAGUUAAAGUCAAGAUGCUGGGAG